rnacentral:rRNA from 1 species
AUUGAACGCUGGCGGAAUGCUUUACACAUGCAAGUCGAACGGUAGAGGGGGCAACCCCUCGAGAGUGGCGAACGGGUGAGUAAUAUAUCGGAACGUGCCCAGUCGUGGGGGAUAACGUAGCGAAAGUUACACUAAUACCGCAUACGAUCUACGGGUGAAAGCGGGGGAUCGCAAGACCUCGCGCGAUUGGAGCGGCCGAUAUCAGAUUAGGUAGUUGGUGGGGUAAAGGCUCACCAAGCCAACGAUCUGUAGCUGGUCUGAGAGGACGACCAGCCACACUGGAACUGAGACACGGUCCAGACUCCUACGGGAGGCAGCAGUGGGGAAUUUUGGACAAUGGACGCAAGUCUGAUCCAGCCAUUCCGCGUGCAGGAUGAAGGCCCUCGGGUUGUAAACUGCUUUUGUACGGAACGAAAAGGUUUCCAUUAAUACUGGGAGCUCAUGACGGUACCGUAAGAAUAAGCACCGGCUAACUACGUGCCAGCCGCCGCAGUAA